GCCUGUUAGAAGUAACAGAAACUACAACUGUUUCAAGCCUGACUCUACUCAGAACCCUUGAUGUGAUUCCAAUGGAUUUGGCACAGAACACUGGCUACUUGACCAGUAUUGUGUUUGAGGCUGAAGGCCAAAGCUCAGGCAGACACGGUGGACCAUCAGUUCAGGAGGUGUCCAACACAGUGAGGAGGCUGUGUGCUCAUCUCACGGAUCAACAACAGCAAUCUGAGCUUCUCCUGAAUCUGGUGCUCCAGCUGAGAGCCUUGUCAUCACGUCAGUUGCGAGACUUGUGGC